UCCCCUGUUCUCUCAAUCUUUUAUAUGGCUCCGAUUGGCUUUAGGCUGUUGUGGCUUUGACUUCUUUCUAAAGUCUUCAAAAUUUAGUUUUUCACAAUCACGUUAAAUUUUUUUAAAAGUCACAGCCACAACAGCCUAAACCAAUCGGAGCCAUGGUGAUGAGUUCUUGUAAGGG
rnacentral:pre_miRNA from 1 species